UACAGAGGGGGCAAGCGUUGUUCGGAAUUACUGGGCGUAAAGGGCGCGUAGGCGGCCCGCUAAGUCGAACGUGAAAUCCCCGGGCUCAACCCGGGAACUGCGUCCGAUACUGGCAGGCUUGAAUCCGGGAGAGGGAUGCGGAAUUCCAGGUGUAGCGGUGAAAUGCGUAGAUAUCUGGAGGAACACCGGUGGCGAAGGCGGCAUCCUGGACCGGCAUUGACGCUGAGGCGCGAAAGCCAGGGGAGCAAACGGG
rnacentral:rRNA from 1 species